CAGUAAGAUAAGCUAAAUU
rnacentral:tRNA from 1 species